GAGGGUAUAGCUCAGUGGUGGAGUGCUUGUUUAGCAUGCAUGAGGCCUUGGGUUCAAUCCCCAGUACCUCA
rnacentral:tRNA from 1 species